GAUGAAGAACGCAGCGAAAUGCGAUAAGUAAUGUGAAUUGCAGAAUUCAGUGAAUCAUCGAAUCUUUGAACGCACCUUGCACCCUUUGGCAUUCCGAAGGGUAUGCUCGUUUGAGUGUCAUUGUACUCUCACACUCUCCGAUCCUAUGGAUUCGGGGAGCGGUGGACUUGGGUGUUGCUGCCUUUCCUUGUGGCUCACCUCAAAUGUGUCAGUGCACCUCUUGGUUGGACAUAGUACGGCGUGAUAAGUGUCUUCGCCGGCACCUCGCAAGAGGGUGGCCGAUCGGGAGCUCUGUGCUUUCAAACCGUCUUCGGACAAUUUCUGACAACUUGACCUCAAAUCGAGGAGGACUACCCGCUGAACUUAAGCAUAUCAAUAAGCGGAGGA
rnacentral:misc_RNA from 1 species